GACGAACGCUGGCGGCGUGCUUAACACAUGCAAGUCGAACGGAAAGGCCUGCUUUCCCUUGUGGAUUGCGGGUACUCGAGUGGCGAACGGGUGAGUAACACGUGAGUGAUCUGCCCCCAACUUGGGUAUAAGCCUGGGAAACUGGGUCUAAUUCCCGAUAGGACUGCAGGGUGGUGCCUGUGGUGGAAAACGAUUUUCUAGUGGUUGGGGAUGAGCUCGCGGCCUAUCAGCUUGUUGGUGGGGUAAUGACCUACCAAGGCGGCGACGGGUAGCCGGCCGGAGAGGGUGGACGGCCACAUUGGGACUGAGAUACGGCCCAGACUCCUACGGGAGGCAGCAGUGGGGAAUAUUGCACAAUGGGCGGAAGCCUGAUGCAGCGACGCCGCGUGGGGGAUGACGGCCUUCGGGUUGUAAACUCCUUUCGACCGCGAGGAAGCCACCUGGUUGGAAGGGUGGUGACGGUAGUGGUAGAAGAAGCACCGGCUAACUACGUG
rnacentral:rRNA from 1 species